CGCCUCGAGCUGUCACUUGCCGCCUGGAGUUCGUUGGGAAAGUUGAAAAAGCCUAGUCCUGUUUAGGAAAUCUAUCCAGCUGUGUAUAUCCUUUUUGCUUUUAGGGUAUGAAGCUUAGGAAGGAUAAGAAAAACAAGAUCACACAGCUGGCAAGUGACACAAUUUAUAACUCCAGAACGAGAAUUUGCAGUUGUUGCGCCAGAUGCCCUGUAGCGGGGCUGCCACCAAGAAGGUGGAAGAACACCUUUAGUUCCAGCACUCAGGACACAGAAACAGGAUCUCUCUGUAUAGCCAUGACUAUCCUGGAACUCACUAUGUAAACCAGAGAUCUGCUUGCCACUGCCUCCCAGGUGCUGGGAUUAAAGUGGCUCGUCUGGGUUCAGGAAAGUAUAGCUCCACUUUAGUGUUCUUAUGGAUCAUCGACUGUACCCAAGACCAGAAUGGAAACAACUAGAUCAUCUUCAACUGAAGAAUGGAGACAGAAACGUGAUACAGAAGUCUGAUCCUUUGAACACGUGAAGAGUUCAUAGCAGUCCACAUAGAAAAGAUGAAGGAUCCAGAGAGACAUUGACAAUGGAGAUGAAUGCAACAUUCACAGGAGAGAGAUUCGUAACUUGCAGAAGAGAUGAAUACCCACCUGGCUCUGGUCUGUGGCUGCAGCAAAAGUGGGCACACCCCUCCAGACCUUCAUAUUGAAAACUAGGCAAAACCAGCUUACCAGGAUGCGGCUCCCACUGGGGUCAGACUGAACUUUAUGGAAUGUGGGGCACGAGAGUCCAGGAUGGAUUCAUGCUCAGGAAAAAAUAAACCUCAGAUUGCCUCGCC
rnacentral:lncRNA from 1 species